CCCUUAGAUGUUCUGGGCUGCACGCGCGCUACACUGAAGCUAUCAACACGUUUUCCCUCCCUGAGAAGGGCGGGUAACCUUUUGAAUCAGCUUCGUGGUAGGGAUCGGGGCUUGCAAUUGUUCCCCGUGAACCAGGAAUUCCUAAUAGACGCGAGUCAUAAGCUCGCAUCGAUUAAGUCCCUGCCCUUUGUACACACCGCCCGUCGCUACUACCGAUUGAACGUUUUAGUGAGGCAUUUGGACCGACGCAUCUCAGUUUAACCGCUGGUUUGUGUUGGAAAGACUUCCAAACUUGAGCGUUUAGAGGAAGUAAAAGUCGUAACA
rnacentral:rRNA from 1 species